rnacentral:rRNA from 1 species
AGUUUGAUCCUGGCUCAGGACGAACGCUGGCGGCGUGCUUAACACAUGCAAGUCGAACGAUGAACCAGGAGCUUGCUCUUGGGGAUUAGUGGCGAACGGGUGAGUAACACGUGAGCAAUCUGCCCUUCACUCUGGGAUAACCUCCGGAAACGGAAGCUAAUACCGGAUAUGACGCACGGAGGCAUCUCCUGUGCGUGGAAAGAACUUCGGUGGAGGAUGAGCUCGCGGCCUAUCAGGUAGUUGGUGAGGUAACGGCCCACCAAGCCUACGACGGGUAGCCGGCCUGAGAGGGUGACCGGCCACACUGGGACUGAGACACGGCCCAGACUCCUACGGGAGGCAGCAGUGGGGAAUAUUGCACAAUGGGCGCAAGCCUGAUGCAGCAACGCCGCGUGAGGGACGACGGCCUUCGGGUUGUAAACCUCUUUUAGUAGGGAAGAAGCGAAAG